rnacentral:misc_RNA from 1 species
GUUCGCACCGUUGGCUGA